rnacentral:rRNA from 1 species
AUUGAACGCUGGCGGCAUGCCUUACACAUGCAAGUCGAACGGCAGCACGGGGCAACCUGGUGGCGAAUGGCGAACGGGUGAGUAAUGCAUCGGAACGUACCUUUCAGUGGGGGAUAACGUAGCGAAAGUUACGCUAAUACCGCAUAUUCUGUGAGCAGGAAAGCAGGGGAUCGCAAGACCUUGCGCUGAUUGAGCGGCCGAUGUCAGAUUAGCUAGUUGGUGAGGUAAAGGCUCACCAAGGCGACGAUCUGUAGCGGGUCUGAGAGGAUGAUCCGCCACACUGGAACUGAGACACGGUCCAGACUCCUACGGGAGGCAGCAGUGGGGAAUUUUGAACAAUGGGGGCAACCCUGAUCCAGCCAUGCCGCGUGAGUGAAGAAGGCCUUCGGGUUGUAAAGCUCUUUUGUCCGGAAAGAAAAGCUACGGGUUAAUAACCCGGAGUCAUGACGGUACCGGAAGAAUAAGCACCGGCUAACUUCGUGCCAGCCGCCGCCGUAA